rnacentral:rRNA from 1 species
AUCUACAGCCAUGCCACCCUGAACAAGCCCAAUUUUGUCUGAUUUCAGAAGCUAAGCAGGGUCGGGCCUGGUUAGUACUUGGAUGGGAGACCACCUAGGAAGACCAGGUGCUGUAAGCA